CCUCAUCUGCAUCCUCGCGACUAAUGACAACCUUUAAUCCACGCCUCGUUGGAUAAAGCCUCUCAUUAGCCGCGCGAACCUCUGCAACUGAAGAUCACACUCAGCAACAAUACAUUAGUUUGAGCAAUAUUGCUGCCGAUUGCUCGAAAAAAGGGGCCGUAAAGGCCCCCUUUU
rnacentral:sRNA from 1 species